AUUGUGUCGACGUAACAAGAAAGCCCGGUAACGAAGAACAAUGAACACUAUGUCCAACACCAGCAUUCAACCCCGUGAAGAAUGCAGGUUUAAUGCUUGCUUAUAUCUGGAUGAUAGUUAUGUUUGUGGCAGCUCUCGUUUUCGUGAUUGGAUUCCUGUAUCAAUUUAUUUUUUAAGGUAAUGGAAUUAUUCUCGUUUGAAAUAUUCGAUGGUAAAAUGUAUGGUAUUCCCUGAUUUCUUUAAAAAAACGAGUUGAACGAAGGAAGCAUGAAAUGCGUGAGAUCGUACUUAUUUAACGAAUUUUCAAAUUUGUAUAUAAUAUGUAAUAUAUAUAACAUUAUGUUUU